CUUCAACUGACUCCAUGGACGAAUCGGGAGAUAUUCCGCGCCGCCGUCGCUGUUUGAAGAGACUAACGAAACCCAAUAGCUUCAAGAGAGGGCCGCUACUCUGCCUGAUAAUGUGACGUUACAGCAAAUUCAGUGGUCAGAACUACCAUUACCGAAGCUGGUUCCUGUAACUGUCAGCGAACCGAGCCCCGUCUACACUGCCGGCCUACCUGUCUACAACCAAUAGAAGUUCAACUUUCCGAG